GGGUUAGGGUUAGGGUUAGGGUUGGAGCUAGGGUUAGGGUUAGGGUUAGGGUUGGAGUUAGGGUUAGUGUUGGAGCUAGGGUUAGGGUUGGGCUUGGAGCUAGGAUUUUUCUGAGUGCACUGAACCAACUCCCGAGUCUCUAGGACAUUCCUAAAAAAAAUUGAUUUUUUCCCAUAGGAAUGCAUGGGUUAGGGUUAUGGUUAGGGUUAGGGUUGGAGCUAGGGUUAGGGUUAGGGUUAGGGUUGGAGUUAGGGUUAGUUUUGGAGCUAGGGUUAGGGUUGGGCUUGGAGCUAGGAUUUUUCUGAGUGCACUGAACCAACUCCCGAGUCUCUAGGACGUUCCUA
rnacentral:lncRNA from 1 species